CGGUGUGCAUAGGCAAGAUUGCCUAAUGCUGGAUUUCGUGUGAAACGCUGUAGAGGCGUAGAGCGCCCGAGUGUAGAUGCCCGUAGAGUGCGGAUGUGGAUUCAGCUGAGAGAGUGUAUUGGCAGUAGCAUUUGAGCAUUGCUAGGUGUGAAGCGUGCCAUGAUCACUCGUGGGACUGGUGACUCGCAUUAGGUGCAUAGUAGCCGGUAGUGAUACGUGUGACUCGGUAGAGCAUGUCGUGUAGGACGACGACGGCGGGUAAUGCUUAGGGACGACCCGUGCCUGGACCAUUUGUGGACUGUGGAGCCUGGGCCCAUUGGGCAGGCGCAGUCAGCUGUGAGUGACAGCGGCCCGGUACCUACAGGUAGAGCAGAGUUCUAGUCAGGACGGUGGUCCGAGCUUAGACCCGGGAGCGUGGAAUGCCACGUGAUAGAUUGUGUGGCCGAUGGCACACCGAGU
rnacentral:lncRNA from 1 species